AUGCAGUCGAGCGAACUGAUUAGAAGCUUGCUUCUAUGACGUUAGCGGCGGACGGGUGAGUAACACGUGGGCAACCUGCCUGUAAGACUGGGAUAACUUCGGGAAACCGAAGCUAAUACCGGAUAGGAUCUUCUCCUUCAUGGGAGAUGAUUGAAAGAUGGUUUCGGCUAUCACUUACAGAUGGGCCCGCGGUGCAUUAGCUAGUUGGUGAGGUAACGGCUCACCAAGGCAACGAUGCAUAGCCGACCUGAGAGGGUGAUCGGCCACACUGGGACUGAGACACGGCCCAGACUCCUACGGGAGGCAGCAGUAGGGAAUCUUCCGCAAUGGACGAAAGUCUGACGGAGCAACGCCGCGUGAGUGAUGAAGGCUUUCGGGUCGUAAAACUCUGUUGUUAGGGAAGAACAAGUACAAGAGUAACUGCUUGUACCUUGACGGUACCUAACCAGAAAGCCACGGCUAACUACGUGCCAGCAGCCGCGGUAAUACGUAGGUGGCAAGCGUUAUCCGGAAUUAUUGGGCGUAAAGCGCGCGCAGGCGGUUUCUUAAGUCUGAUGUGAAAGCCCACGGCUCAACCGUGGAGGGUCAUUGGAAACUGGGGAACUUGAGUGCAGAAGAGAAAAGCGGAAUUCCACGUGUAGCGGUGAAAUGCGUAGAGAUGUGGAGGAACACCAGUGGCGAAGGCGGCUUUUUGGUCUGUAACUGACGCUGAGG
rnacentral:rRNA from 2 species